AGCAGCCGCGGUAAUUCCAGCUCCAAUAGCGUAUAUUAAAGUUGUUGCAGUUAAAAAGCUCGUAGUUGAAUUUCGGGAUUGGCGCAUCGGUCGUGCCUUACGGGGUAUGAACUGGUGCAGUCAAUUUCUCACCUUCUGGAGAACCGCGAUGUCCUUAAUUGGGUGCCGCGGGGAACCAGGACCUUUACUUUGAAAAAAUUAGAGUGUUUAAAGCAGGCAUUUUUGCUUGAAUACAUUAGCAUGGAAUAAUAAAAUAGGACGGCAUGGUUCUAUUUUGUUGGUUUCUAGGACCACCGUAAUGAUUAAUAGGGAUAGUUGGGGGCAUUAGUAUUCAAUUGUCAGAGGUGGAAUUCUUGGAUUUAUUGAAGACUAACUACUGCGAAAGCAUUUGCCAAGGAUGUUUUCAUUAAUCAAGAACGAAAGUUAGGGGAUCGAAGACGAUCAGAUACCGUCGUAGUCUUAACCAUAAACUAUAGCCGACUAGGGAUCGG
rnacentral:rRNA from 1 species